rnacentral:rRNA from 1 species
CCUACGGGGGGCAGCAGUAAGGAAUAUUGGUCAAUGGAGGAAACUCUGAACCAGCCAUCCCGCGUGAAGGAUGAAGGGGCUCUGCCUUGUAAACUUCUUCUGUCUGGGGCGAAAAAGCUCGAUUUAUCGAGAACUGACGGUACCAGAAGAAUAAGCACCGGCUAACUCCGUGCCAGCAGCCGCGGUAAUACGGAGGGUGCAAGCGUCACUCGGAAUCACGGGGGCGAAAGGGUGCGUGGGCGGCAGUGUUGACAGGCUGUGGCUUAACCAUGGCAUUGCCCUUGAUACUGCAGAGCUUGAAUGAGGUUGCGGUUGGCGGAAUGUGACAUGUAGCGGUGAAAUGCUUAGAUAUGUCAUGGAACACCGAUUGCGAAGGCAGCUGACUGGACCUAUAUUGACGCUGAGGCACGAAAGCGUGGGGAGCGAACAGGAUUAGAUACCCCAGUAGUC